UACGGAGGGUGCAAGCGUUAAUCGGAAUUACUGGGCGUAAAGCGCGCGUAGGCGGUUAGGUAAGUCGAUUGUGAAAUCCCCGGGCUCAACCUGGGAAUUGCAGUCGAGACUGUCUGACUAGAGUGUAGGAGAGGGUGGUGGAAUUCCCGGUGUAGCGGUGAAAUGCGUAGAUAUCGGGAGGAACAUCAGUGGCGAAGGCGACCACCUGGCCUAACACUGACGCUGAGGUGCGAAAGCGUGGGUAGCAAACAGGG
rnacentral:rRNA from 1 species